rnacentral:tRNA from 1 species
UUCUCCUUGCUCGGUGGGUGGGUCGCCGCUCCGCGCGGCGACCCGGGGAUUGCUGACCAGGGGGACGUCUCAGACGGCGUCGAGGAGGGA